GACGAACGCUGGCGGCGUGCUUAACACGUGCAAGUCGAACGGAAAGGCCCUGCUUUUGUGGGGUGCUCGAGUGGCGAACGGGUGAGUAACACGUGGGUAACCUGCCCUUGACUUUGGGAUAACUUCAGGAAACUGGGGCUAAUACCGGAUAGGAGCUCCUGCUGCAUGGUGGGGGUUGGAAAGUUUCGGCGGUUGGGGAUGGACUCGCGGCUUAUCAGCUUGUUGGUGGGGUAGUGGCUUACCAAGGCUUUGACGGGUAGCCGGCCUGAGAGGGUGACCGGCCACAUUGGGACUGAGAUACGGCCCAGACUCCUACGGGAGGCAGCAGUGGGGAAUAUUGCACAAUGGGCGGAAGCCUGAUGCAGCAACGCCGCGUGCGGGAUGACGGCCUUCGGGUUGUAAACCGCUUUCGCCUGUGACGAAGCGUGAGUGACGGUAAUGGGUAAAGAAGCACCGGCUAACUACGUG
rnacentral:rRNA from 1 species